rnacentral:rRNA from 1 species
AAGGCUACGAUGGGUAGGGGGUCUGAGAGGAUGAUCCCCCACACUGGUACUGAGACACGGACCAGACUCCCACGGGAGGCAGCAGUGAGGAAUAUUGGUCACUGGGCGAAAGCCUGAACCAGCCAUGCCGCGUGCAGGAUGACAGUCCUACGGAUUGUAAACUGCUUUUCUGCAAGAAGAAAUGUUCCGACGUGUCGGGGAUUUGACGGUAUUGCAGGAAUAAGCAUCGGCUAACUCCGUGCCAGCAGCCGCGGUAAUACGGAGGAUGCAAGCGUUAUCCGGAUUCAUUUGGGUUUACAGGGUGCGUAGGCGGAUUAGAUAGUCAAAGGUGAAAGCCUGCAGCUUAACUGUAGAAGUGCCUUUGAUACUGCUAAUCUUGAGUACAGUUGAGGCGAGUGGAAUGUGUAGUGUAGCGGUGAAAUGCAUAGAUACUACACAGAACACCAAUUGCGAAGGCAGCUCGCUAAGCUGUUACUGACGCUCAGGCACGAAAGCGUGGGGAGCGAACAGGAUUGGAUACCCUGGUAGUCCACGCUUUAAACUAUGAUCACUAGCUGUUGGCGAUAAAUUGUCAGUGGCUCAGCGAAAGCGUUUAAGUGAUCCACCUGGGGAGUACGAUCGCAAGGUUGAAACUCAAAGGAAUUGACGGGGGCCCGCACAAGCGGUGGAACAUGUGGUUUAAUUCGAUGAUACGCGAGGAACCUUACCUGGGCUUAAAUGUAGAGCGACGUCUCGAGAAAUCGGGAUUCCCUUCGGGGCGAACUACAAGGUGCUGCAUGGUUGUCGUCAGCUCGUGCCGUGAGGUAUCGGGUUAAGUCCCAUAACGAGCGCAACCCUUAUUGUUAGUUGCCAGCGGAUAAUGCCGGGGACUCUAACAAAACUGCCCGUGUAAACGGGAGGAAGGUGGGGAUGACGUCAAAUCAGCACGGCCCUUAUGUCCAGGGCUACACACGUGUUACAAUGGCUGGAACAAAGGGCAGCUACCACGCAAGUGGAUGCUAAUCUCUAAAUCCAGUCCCAGUUCGGAUCGAAGUCUGCAAUUCGACUUCGUGAAGAUGGAAUCGCUAGUAAUCGCGCAUCAGCGAUGGCGCGGUGAAUAUGUUCCCGGGCCU